UUGUAUGUGCUUUCUUUCCAAAUCAUGCAAAUGUUAUUGAGUAAAACUCAGAUUCAACGGUUGCAAGACAAUUCUUUCUGCAUGGCCUUUGAUAUUUCAAGUAGUUGGAGUCAAGACAGCGGUGUUCUGGAGCAUCAAUCUGCUUAUUAAAGCUUAUAAGUAAAGGCGGAAGGCCGAAAUUUCUUGACUUCGGACACUUAAAAAGAAUGGUACAGUAAUCUUUUACUUAUCUGAGUGCCGAGCUGAUUACGUGAAUGAGUGGCAGCCGUGGAAUUGAGCUGAGAUGAAUUUCCAGGCUGCCAUAUUUGUUAUGUAUCAAUACCCAGUUUUGAUACACACUACAAACUUGACUUGACUUAACAAGCUUAACCAUGGUUCACAUUGUAUAMAAGCAAUACCCAUAGAUGAUACACAGURCUAAAAAUCAAAUUAAUCUAUGUAAUUUCCACAAUUUUUGGACAUGAAUAGAAAGUUCACAAGGUUUUAGAGUGUUAUUCUUACUAGAAGCACAGGAAACCCAAGCCAGAACUUUGAUUAGAAUAAAUGAUUAUACAUAAAAUGAAAACUUAUAAUAAAGACUACUGUAUAUUUCUCAUCAAAAUUGUUUUGUAUGGCUCAAGAGGAUAACACUUACCAGCUCAACAAGGAAUGUACAAUUUUGUUGAGAAAUAUUURUCAUGAAUAUAUAGGGGUUAGUUUAAAAUGUAUUUCAUUAUACGUUGCUACUCAUGCCAUUGAGCACUUUAUUUGAUUUUUUGAUAAAAGCAAUUAAAACUAUGAUAUACAUUUACAUUA